rfam:Loxodonta africana unplaced genomic scaffold scaffold_3, whole genome shotgun sequence.
GCAGUGGUGGUUCAGUGGCAGAACUCUUGCCUUCCAUAUAGGAGACCUGGGUUUGAUUCCCAGCCAAUGCC